rnacentral:lncRNA from 1 species
CAGGGAUGUCAUAUUUAGUGUACUAUUUUGCCUUUUCUGUAGGAUUGAGUGUGUCCGUUGCAUUUAGUUAAGGCAAGUAUUUGGAAGAAAUAAGGGGCCAUUCCUUCCCUAUGAGCUAUAGAAAAAAGAGCACAUAGAAGAACCAAAGUGGAGGGAUUUAGAAGAUCCUUCUAGCAAGACUAACCCAGCAGACAGCCAUGGAGUUUCCCAGAGCCUGCUGGGAGCACUGUGACCAAAGGCAUACUUGGGGAACAGGGCUGGUGGAAGCUGUUGGGACAACUCUAUAGCACACGUGCUGGGGCACAGAUAGACAAGUGGAAAAUCGAAGAGGAAGGUUUUGAAGAGAGAAGAGGCAUCACCUGGGGUUGUGUUUUCAACCCUUUAGGUUUGGCAACAGAUCUUUGAGCAAGUUUCUCUGUGAAGAUUCCUUCGAAGUGAGAUAUUGUUUGCUCAGAGAAAACCUGCUGGUCCAACACAAAUUAAAUAGUUGUUAAAUA